rnacentral:lncRNA from 1 species
GCAUGGUGUUGUACGGAAGCCAAAGCAAUUGGCUUUGCAUUUGGCCAGCUGAUUUAGCAAGAAAUUUCGCAAAUGAUGCAGUCCUUACAGAUGGUGCUGUUGGGUUUUUUAGAAUGUUUUAAAACACUGAUGGAUUUGACCAUGAACUGAAUUUCCAGUCUCUUAGAUUCACCUCCAGCCACCCCUUGACGAUCUCCAAGGCAACUGGAGACAAGGAGCAGACCUUUUCUGCAAACUUAUGAUGAAUGAUUUCCUUUAAAAACUACUCGCAUAAUAAAAAUGUUUUGGUGUAAACUUGGCCAAGGGGAACUCUUGAAACUUUCAGUUUCUUUGCCUAACUCUGAGUUGCUUGAGUCACAUUUUUGCAUGGUUCUUGAUUGACUUUCUGGUGCUCUGCCUGGAGGUCUUUGCUUAUCUGUGAGUUGCCUGAGUCACAUUUUUACAUGGUUCUGGUGCUCUGCCUGCAGGUCAAGAAGGAGCCAGUAUCUCCAGGAGGAGUGAGAGAGUGCUCUGCCAGUGUGAAGUGUGAAUCCUUGAGAGGCUGUGGCAAGGGUCCAUGCCUGAAUGUGUAGAACAAGAACAGCUGGAGGCUGUGGCUUUCUCCAGGAAGAGGUUUCUAAAUCUGCCUCUUAGAAGAUAUCAGAAAGUUAAAGUUUCUCUUGCUGCCGCCGUGUAAGAAGGACCUUUUGCCUCCCACCAUGAUUCUAAGUCCUCCCCAGCCACGUGGAACUAGCCAAGUAAUCUAAGAAAGGCAGAAUGACAGCUAGCCUGGGAAAUGGAAUAACAUCACUUCUGUCACAUUCCAUUGGCCAAACAUAUCAAACUUGAUACAGCAUGAGAGGGGACUAUACAAGAAUGUGGAUACCAGGAAAUGAGGAUCAGUGGGGACCAGCUUGGAGGCUGACAACAACAGGAGAUGAUAAUGAAUAGUGAAAAAUGCCAAGCAGACAAUAAGCAGAAGGAACAGAGGAAAUCCACAAACUGGAUAAUUGUUUCUUGAGUAACUGACCAUCAAUCUAGAUAGUGGUUGCAGUAAUUUCAAAUUCUUCUCUUCCUUUUCACUUCAGGUGAAUGAAACCUGUUUUCACCGAGAAUGAGCUUCUGUCUUGAUAGCUUUCAUUUGGUCUCUUUUCGAAUCAGAAGACCCAGAAAACUUGGAUCCACUUCUGGCUCUCAUCCCUCUGGGCAGUGUGAUUUGGAGUAAAGCAGCUACGGCUUAGAAAGGCUGAGGAACUUGCCUGAGGCUAUCCAGCUACUGAGAGAUAAACUGGGGUGUGAAUUCAGAGAGCUUGACUCCUGAGGCUCCACCUGUGCCUAUAAUUCCAGCAUGACACCUGGUAAUGGGCACUCAGUAUAUGCUUGUUGAUCUAAACUCAGUGUGUGUGUGUGUGUCUGUGUGUGUCUGUGUGUGUGUGUGUGUGUGUGUGUGUGUGUGUGGUCUUCCUCUCACAUCCAAAGCUACUAGCACUGAGGAAGUUGGGCAUGGUGUAGGAAAGAGAAAUCUUUGCUGUUAAAUCUCAUUUCCAGCAUAACUGUCAAUGGAGAGGUGGCAUGGAAGGGACAACCAGUUCGUGUACCAAAUUACUCUCAGCUUGCUUGUUGUCUUAGGCAUAUGUUCUGGGAGUGGCCAACACCUGUUUUACAUCUGUGUUAGUCUUUGCGGAAUAAAAAGCAAAUUAGGGUUUAAUGGGGACUAUUAAUCUUGUCACCUAAUUGAGUAGAUCUAAUAAAUCUUUUCAUUCAAAACCCAAUGGGAAUUUCUAGUUGGAAAUGAGUGUGGGGAAUAUUCAAUCUCAAAAAUAUUUUCAUACACAAAGAUUAUAUAUGAGUUUGUGAAAGAUGUUGAAUAUUCAAUGAAAUUUAAUGAGUAUGAAUUGAACACUUAUCCUGGGCCUAGAACUGUUGGCAGUUGCUUUUGAGAGUUACAGAGUACAUUUAUGGUAAUUACUGCACUUACGAAUUUUGCUAUGUGGUUUGGGAGUAUCUGAAGUAUCUUAUAGUAGGUCUCUAAACUGGUAAUAAUAAAAAGUUCAAAUAUAUUAUUUUGUUACACUCCACGAGGAUCAAACUUCAUCAUGACAUGAUUAUAAUUUGAAAUAUGAGUAAGAAAUACGUAGGGUCAUGAUCUCUAUAAGCCCAUUCUUUGCUUCUUAAUUAAAUUUUGCAGCUGAUAGAAACAUUGAAAGCAGAGCAUUAGCUUAUAAAUAAUUCAGAAAAUGGUUGGUAACUCCCAUAGUAUAUGUUUUAUGAGUUUUGUUUAAGAAGAGUCUAUUUCGUGUUAGGUAAAGUUGGCCAUUGUUUAGAAUAAAGACCUGCAUUACUUUCUAUUCUAAAUUAAACUGUUAAUGGGAGUGCUUGCAAAGGCCUUGGUGCUUUUUUUUCUGUUUAAUAGGAGCAACAUCACUUUGGAUCAAUUAUUUAAUUUCCUUAUGUCAGAGUUCUUUCAAUUUAAAGGAAAAUAUUUCCUUUCCUCAUUCCUUUUUCUCUGAGGAUGAACCAGACAUUGGAAGUUGUAGCCUGGGAUUGUACUGGAGCUCUCACUGUGGUUGCAUUCUUUCUUCACAUUCAGCGUCCUCCUUAAAGCACACAUUUUCACGUACAUCUAUUAAAUUACCUGGGAGAGAGUUCUAGACACUAUCAGUCAGUAAAUCCAGUUGUCUCAUUUUUCAGUUUUAGCUAUUGUUGCGGUCAUAUGCCAAGGCUUGUAUGAAUGAAGGGUCUAUAAAAAUAUCUGCUGUGGUGUGAUUUUUUUUAUCCUUGUAUGAGACCAUAGCAUGAGACAGUAGACUGGCAAAUUGGCAGGGCGAGGAGAGUGUUUGUGCUUACACGGGGCAAUGAAAAGAGUUUUGAUUCUUCUUUAGCUAAAUGUUAUAAAACUUUAAAGCUUACAUUUGAAUAAUCGUUGCAGAUGGGUUAGAUAAAAUCCAUCAACUCACAAUGUUUUUCCUGUUUCCAUUCACUAGUGAGUAACAAGGUUAAAAGAAGGAAUGUUCUAUAAAAUAAGAUAUAGAAUUUGGGUUAGGUUUACAAGUGAAGAGUUCCUCUUUGCCCUGCCCCCAAAUUAUUUUUAGGCCCCAGGCCUCUGAAGCCAAGGUAAUCUGCAGGGCAGCUUUCACAUUUUAUCACAAGUCAGUGGUCUCUCCUCUUCCUUGUCCCUCCUAUCUUGCCGGCAAAUGGCUCUGUGGGAAACCCAUUCUGCUUCCUGUUUAAACUGUAGAAACAAUUCAUUUAAUUCAAUAUCUAGCUUUUGAUUCUAUUUGCAAAAAUACAGUUGUAAAUAGUUCCAUUCAUUAGCCAAUUUUUUUUUUGGUCUGUUAAGCAUAUUUGGGUCAUUUUAUAGUUAACCUUGGCUGAGGGAGAGAAGUUCUUUGAAGCUCUUACUUACUUACUUGUGAAUUUUUGGGUCUGAUAUGGAGGCUUUGCAGGUCAGAAGCAUGGCUUGACUGACCCAAUGCCCAUUUCUGGCUCUCUUCAUCCUCGCUGACCUCUACAGUAGAGAAAGGAGAAGCUGAAUAUUCACUGCUCUAACCUCCCUUGAAGCAAGGGGUGGCCUUGUAACAGUUCUGGCCAAUGUGGCAUAAGCAGAAUUCUGCUGAGGUGGGUUUUGGGAACGGCUUUUGAUUUCCUAAUAAAAGAGGCCAGAACUGCAGGCACUAUUCUUUCCACCCCUCUUGGUCUUGAACAUGGCUACAAUGUCUGGAUCUAUAGCAGUCAGCUUGCAACUUUGAGACAAUAUGCCAAUCUAAAAAUGGUAGAGCAGAAUUAUAGAUGAACAGAUGAACCCUUGGUUUUUAUUAGAUCAUGGAGCCCCAUAUUAUACAGUACUGCUUCCCUUUAGACAUCAUACAUGAAAAAUAAAUCCCUUUGUGGUAGGUUUAAUACAAGGCCACAAAUUCUUUGACACUCCUCCCAGCAAAGUCUAAUUCACCCUCCCUUGAAUAUAGGCCAGCCUUACCCACUUGAUUCUAACUAGUAGAAUUCAGUAGAUGUGACACUGCAUGACUCUCCAUGCUAGGUUCACAAGUGAUGCGGUUUCUGCCUUUUUCUUCUCUCUGACAUGUGCCUUGGGAGCUUUGAGCUGACAUGUUAGAAGUCAGUCUACAUUGAAGCUGCCAUGCUGAAGAACUCAUGUGGGAGAACACACAGAAAUCGAGAUGCCUGAGGAGCCCCAGCUGUACCAGCCUCUAGCUCUCUGAGUCUUCUCAGCAAGAACUGUCAAACAUGAGAGUGAAGCAGCCUUCAGAUGACUCUGGCCCCAGUCUUCAAGUGCCCUAGCUGGUGCCAAGUGGAGCAGACAAGCUGCCACCCACCAAGCCCUUCCCAAAUUGCAGACUAGGAACAAAAUAAAUGUUAUUUUAAGCCACUAAAUUUUGGUUUGUUAUAUAUUAUAGCAAUAGAAAACCAGAACCCCUUUUUUUAAUGCCACUGUUAGUUGGAUAUUCUGUUACUUGCAGCCAAAAGCAUCCUUAUGUGAAAUACUUAGUAGUAGAGAAGAUUAAAA